CAAAGAAGAAAAGGUUAGGUGAAGUAAGUGUUAAGGUUGCUGAUGUGGGUAAUGUGAGGGUAACUAGGCAAAAAAAGGGGAAGAAACUUAUAGAGGCAAUAAUAGAAAACAAAGGGAAGGAACCUCUUGAACAUGAGGAUGAGAAGGUGUAGGCAGGUGGCAAAAGGUGUGGGCAGGUGGCAAUGACAUUAAUUCAAGUAAUAGUGACUCCUUAAUUGCCCUUAGAGAACUAAAGGAUUCUGAUGAUGAACUAGAUCAUGACCCAUUCAAGGAGAAUAUUGACAAAAAUAUGGUCGAGGAAGACUUGAGGAAAUGGAUUGAACAAUUUAGGCUUAUUAUGGGGAUGAUGGGCUUGGAAAUAUUGGAAUUGAGAGAAAGGAUCUAGUCUAAUGAUGAUAGUGAUAGUGAUUUGAGAAGCCUAGCAAUGAGAGUGAGGCUAAUGAUGACGGAAUGAUAAGGUUUCCUAAAGUUAAUGAGUGGUUUAACUUUAAGAA
rnacentral:lncRNA from 1 species